GCGCAUCUAGCUCACUCGGUCAGAGCGCCGCCCUGAUAAGGCGGAGGUACGAGGUUCAAAUCCUCGGUUGCGCA
rnacentral:tRNA from 1 species